rnacentral:rRNA from 1 species
UACGUAGGGACCAAGCGUUGUUCGGAUUUACUGGGCGUAAAGGGCGCGUAGGCGGCUUAACAAGUCACUUGUGAAAUCUCCGGGCUUAACUCGGAACGGCCAAGUGAAACUGUCAUGCUAGAGUGCAGAAGGGGCAAUCGGAAUUCUUGGUGUAGCGGUGAAAUGCGUAGAUAUCUGGAGGAACACCGGUGGCGAAGGCGGCAUCCUGGACCGACACUGACGCUGAGGAGCGAAAGCCAGGGGAGCAAACGGG